rnacentral:rRNA from 1 species
GACGUAGGGCGCGAGCGUGUCCGGAUUUAUUGGGCGUAAAGAGCUCGUAGGCGGCUUGUCGCGUCGAAUGUGAAAACUCGGGGCUCAACCCCGCGCUUGCAUUCGAUACGGGCAGGCUCGAGUUCGGUAGGGGAGACUGGAAUUCCUGGUGUAGCGGUGAAAUGCGCAGAUAUCAGGAGGAACACCGGUGGCGAAGGCGGGUCUCUGGGCCGAUACUGACGCUGAGGAGCGAAAGCGUGGAGAGCAAACAGG